rnacentral:lncRNA from 1 species
AGGGCUGCACCUGCAGCACAUGGAGGUCCCUGUGUGCCUCUGCGUUUGUUCAGGUAUGUCUGUGGGUCUCCUCAUCUAUCAGUACAUCCGUGCUCAAUGUCUGUAAGUGUACAAACCUGUGUACCUGUCCCCGCAGGCACCUGCACAAGCUUCUGAGUCUGUAUCUUUGUGAGUCCGUAUGGGUGAGGAUCCACGUACAUCUCUGUCUCUGUGCACUUGCCUGGGUCUCCGUGAAUAUACCUGAGUUUCUGCAUGUGUGUGUGUGACUUUGCUCCUCUCGUGCAUCUGAGUGAGUGUGUGAGUGCAGCUGUGUUCGCCUGUGCACAUCUUCGUAUGGGUCUCUAGGCCUGUGUGUCUCUGUGUGUAGGUGUGAGCUUCUGCAUAAGAAAGUGUCUCUGCCAAGCCGACCAACCUCCGUCUCCCCGCUCCCUCUCCUCUCCCCUGUAUCUACACGGGAGGCAUCUCUCUCUGUAUAUAAACGUCUCUCUCUAAAUGUGUCUGCUCAUAUUCAUGCAGAGAUGUCUUCAUGGGUCCAUCUCUGUUUUGUCUGCGUGCAUGUGUAUGUCUCCAUGUACGAGUGCAUCUAUGUGUGCACACGGCAUGCUUGUGUGGUUCCAUACGCACACCCAUAUGCACGAAUAUCCCCACGUGCUUCCCCAGGUACAUUUCUAUACAUGUGCAUGUGGGCAUGUUUCUAGGUUUUCAUGGUCAGCAUGAGCACCCAGGUUGCAGGUCCAGGCAGGACCAUGUGUAUGCAGGUGUGUUUUAAUAACAACUUGCCUCUGUGUGUAAAUUCAUGUGACUCUAUGAGCAUAAAGAUGCCAGAUACGUGUUUAAAACACACGUGUCUCCUUAUGAAUACAUCUCCAUAUUUCAGUUUUUUAUAAAUGUCUCUAUGUCUCUGCAUAGCAAUGAACAUGCAUACACCUGUGUCUGCAUACGGAUGACUCCAUGCACCUGCCUGUGGCUCUGUGUGCACACAUGCAAAUGCCUAUGUGUCUGUGUGGGCUCAUAUGUACUUGUCUACAUUUCUCCAUAAAUGUCUGGGGGUGUCUGAGGAUGAGUCCACACCUCAUGAGCCUCUAGAAGCAUUUAUGCGUCUUUCCAUGUGUGUGUGUGUGUGUGUGUGUGUGUGCAUGCAUUUGUGUUCUUGCAUCUUUGAGGUUAUGAAUCAGUAAACACAUCCUCUGGACGCCUAGGUUGGCAUGCAUGUGUCUCUGCGUGCUUCUCUGGGCCUGUGCGAGUGUGGAGUGUGCAUCUGUGACUGCAUGUUGCUUUGUGCCUACACACCAAACUGUGGGUGUUUGUAUGCAUCUGUGUGUAUGUAUACGUGUAUCUGCAUAAACAUGAGGUGGUCCUUGCUGGAACUCUGGUUAUAUGUUCAUACUUGCGCAAACAUAUGUCUUCGGCUGUGGCUGAAAGAACGUAUGGUCUGUGGGAUUCUGAUACACCCGUAGUUCUGUGUCAGUGUAAACACCUGUGGCAGUAUGAGUGCGUGUGUGUGUGUGUGUGUGUGUGUGUGUGUGUGUGUGUCGAUGUGAGCACUUUCUUCCAGAAAGACUUAUCUGCUCAUUUCUCCGCCUGCUUGUCUAUGGUACAGCCAGUAGAAGGGGCUCAAGCUUUUCUCCCUGCUGUUGAAAUAGCCAAGAAAAUAAGCAUUAAAAGACAGCCUCCUUUGGAAAAUGUUGAUUACUGAAGAGGGUAACUACGGUCUGAUAACACAAGUUUUUCCAAUCUGAAGACCAAAAGCGGUGUGGCUUUGAGCUUCAAAUCGCACUGCCAUCAGGGACAUUUGUGUUGGAGGCCCUGGCAUGUACCUGUCUUCCUUCUUACCUCUGGCCCUAGGCUGGGCCCACAUGCUGCCACCUGGCUGCCCACAGCCCACACCACACACAGCUUUCAGCCCACCUUCUGCUUCCAAUCAAUACUCCGACCCUCUUCCCCAUGCUACUGCUUUUCUUCGGCUAGAAAUUCAGAUGAAGAUACCUGGUGGUGUUUAAUCCUUACAAGUAGCCUCGGAGACGGGCACCAGUGUCAUCCACACUUGACAGAUGAGGACACUGGGGGUCAGAGAAUUCAAGCGCGUUGUGAACAUCAUGUGGCCGAUACGUGGCAGAGGCAGAAUUCAGAACCAGGCCCCACUGACCCCAAACCUUUAUUCCUGCUUCUCUCCCACUGACCGUUUCUACUCUCAAACAUGCUCAGGUUCCAGUCGUGGAGCCGGGACUGGGAGCGGAUACAGCUGCCUCCAAAGACUGUGUUCUGAACCUCGAUUCUUUCCUGAAAUUAUCUCAUUUGAUCCUUGCAAGGCCCUAAAAGGAACUGUUUCAUCCAUGUUUGCACAUGAGUGUACAGGCGCAAAGAAGUGAACGUUCUGCGUGAGCGCGUGGGUUCUCAUGAAGUGAACCUGAAUGUUCUAGAAUACGCAUACUCUCUUGAUGUCGUGAGCCCUUCUGAGUGUUGUGUAGCAAGUCUGGGUGUUGUGUAGCAAGUCUGGGUAUUCUCUAUGGUAAGGGGGCCUGGCUAUGGGGUGUGAGGUGAGCUUGUGGAUGACAGGUGGUCUCUAGGAAUUACGGGCCCGGCGAGGCCUGAGCAUCUGGUUUGGAGGGACUGUGCUUUGUGGGAGUGCUUCUGAGUGUUGAGACUUUUAUGAGUGUGAUUUUUCAGAUGUCCUGUCAUGCAAAUCUACGGACUGGGGACCAUGUCUUCACCUUGUAGGGCUGGCCCGUCCAGGUGUCGUGCUCUCUAAACUGCAGUCCAAACACCCUGGGACAGAUCUUGGAGUCACAGGGUGAGACUAUGUGUCCUGGGUUGAGUCUAGAGAUUCGACCGUAAAUUGUUGUGUCACAGGGCCAGUCCUUGCAUUGUCGGGUACAUCUGUGCCUCAUGGGGAAUCUAUGUGUGUUUGUUAACGAGGGGAGCCCCCUCAGGUGGGGUUCUGCCUUGACAUAGUAUGGUAUUUCUGGAGGUUGUGGUCCAUGCUGCGCAUUGCCCGUGUGAUACAGGCUGAUUCUGGAUGUGGCGUUGGCUGUAUUCUGGCAUUUCAAAGAGAAUGGGGCGGAGGCUGCGUUUGAGGGAGCUUGCGUUUGUGCUGUGGGAUUUCCCUAUGUGUUCUGGGGCAAUUCUGGGGGCUGGGGACACACGUUUUCUUUCUGGGGUGUUUGCCUACAGGCAUCCUGCUGUGCGAUGUAAUUCUGUGCUGCGGGGCAUGGCAGCGCGUGAACAUGUCUUGAGCUGGGGAUGCUUAUGCUGGGUGAGGAUGUGUCCCGUGGGGUUUGCGUGGCAAGGCAGGUCUGUGCAUCACAAGGCGCGGUGUCUCUCAGUGGUGGGGGGCAAGUGUACAUCACGAGGCCUGUCCGUCAUAUUGUGGGUCAGGUACCGAUUUGUGGGAUGUCGUGGGGCGUGUAGGUGAGUCUGAGUGCUGCGGAGCACGUCUGUGCACGGUGCGGAGAACGUGAGAUGCGAUGCGUUUGCAAGGUGUGAUUUGGCUGGAGCUAUUUCCAAGUGACUUUGCUUUGGGGAGGAAGUUGGAGCCUGAGGUGGCCCUUCUGGUACCGGGGGCGCGGGGGGGGGUGUCUGUGCAUUUUCUGGUGUUUUGUACACUGCAGGACACAUCUUUGCAUGGAGGCUCUGUCAAGGUGUUGCAGGGGUGAAUAAGGGCACUAUAUACUGUGCCUAGGUUGUGGGUCAAGGGUGCCUUGCGGGGCAAGGUUGUGUCGCAAAGCACGUCUGGUGAGGAGAAUGUGCAAUCUGGAGUAGGUCUUCCUCCUGUGGGGCACGUCUGUGUGUCCUGGGGCAAUUCUGGGGGCUGGGGACACACGGUUUCUUUCUGGGGUGUUUGCCUGGUGGAGUGAAUGUGUGUGUUUGGGGGGGAUUCUGUGCAUCAGAAUGCAAUCUGGUGUUUCGGGGAGAAACCUUUGUGUCACAGCGUAUACCUGUCCAUUGUAAGUUAGCUGUGUCUAGGUAUCGUGGAACUCGUGUGUGAGUCGUAAGACACCUGUCAGUGUUGUGUGGCAAGACUGAAUUUGUGACUGAAUAUUUGAGGUCUGUUCCUACCGUGGGGCGUGGGGGUGAGUUUAUGAUGUAGAGUUGGGCUGUGCAAUAUAGGGAGAUUUUUGCUUUGUGGAACCUGUGGCCGAUAGGGCAUGUCUUGGUUUUCUAAGUCUGGACAUUGUGGGGCAGGUCCGUUCACUCUACAUUCGUGGUAGGUAUUGUGAGGCACUGGGGGAGUAUUGUGGUGCAAGACUGAGUCUGGAGGCAAAUCUAGGUGUUACAGUCAUACUGGAUGCCUUACAGAGCAAGCGUUGGCAUUCUGGGGAGAACGUUUACAUGCGAGGCACAUCUCUGCGUUGCGAUACCGCUGCACGGGCUAGGGUGGGAGGCCUGCCAUGGAGCAUGUGUGACAUCGUAGGCUGAGGUGGGUAUUAAGGACAGGCUAGGCGUUGUGAGGCUCACAGACGUGUUGUGGAGCAUGUUCUGUGUGUUUGGGGGCAUAGCUGGUGGUUGGGUAGUUAUUAGCUCUGUAUGAGUCUCUGCGUUGCGAGUUAACACUGUGUAGGAGGAAUCGCUGUGCGUUCUAGGACAAUCUGGAAGUUGUAUAGAACUGGGUACGUACUGUAGGGCCAGUCUGUUUCUUGUCACAUUUUUGUAGAGCUACUGGACAAGACUGAGAGGGCCAGUCUGUGCAUUUGAGGAUGUGGCCGGGUGUGGUGGGAUGUGGCGGAGGAGCCCAGUCGUGAUAAAGGUAUGUUCUGAGACAUGUUUGUAAGUUGUUAUGCAAAACCGUGUGUUUCUGAGGAGUCUGUAUCUUUGGGGGCAGAUUUGUGGAUUGCGGGAUGUAUCCAGGAGCUGUGGGAGAAGCUGCCAACUUUGGAAUGAGUGCGUGUUUGACACAAUUCGGGGUGCUGCGGGGUGCGUGUGGCCACUAGUAAAUCUGUGUGUGACACUGUGUGCGGUGCAGGGUGGAUUCGUGUAUUGGGGGCUGAGUGUCAGCAUCUGGUGCAAGUCUGGGAACUAUGCCGGUAAGUGUAUGGUGAAAUGAGUCUCUUCUCCGGGGUGGAUCUGUGAGUUGCUGGUUGCAGUUGUGCAUAACGAUGCAACUCUGUACAUGGUGGGGCAACUCAAAAAGUUGGGAGCUGAGUUGGACUGCUGUUGCUCCUUUCUGUCCGUUGCAGGGCAACCGUGGACUCGCUGAGGAUGUUUCUAUGGGGGCAUGUUUUUACGUUUUAAUGUGAUUUGGCAGCUCUCUUUAGGCUCUGUGUGUUGUACUAUGAGUUUAAGACUCUUUGGGUUGAAUCUGGGUGUUUGGGUGCAAGCCUGGGAUUUGUGGAGUUAGUGUGGUAUGGGCCAAAACUAUAUGUCGAGCUCAUUUGUCUCUUGGAGAGUGAGCUCAUGUGCUUGGAUGUAAAAUCCUGUGUGUCGUGAGAGCAAUCUCUACCUGGAACAGGUCUCGACAGUGUAGGGUGUUUCUAGUGUCACUGCGCAGGUGUGUACGCUGCUUGGGCCCAUCGUUGCACCAUGGGUUAAGUGUGGGAUGGUUCUGCCUAUUGUGGGAUGAAUUGUGUCUUGUGAUGCUAUUCCCUGCCUUGUCAGGAGAGGAGGUUGAGAGCUGUCCUUGACCCCAAGUGUUUGGGGAUUGGUCAUUGUGCUGAGG